rfam:Brassica napus, WGS project CCCW01000000 data, contig: 11165
CUAAUAUGUGUGUAAGUCAACGGGUGAGUAAACCCGUAAGGCGCAAGGAAGCUGAUUGGCUGGAUCCCUCACGGGUGCAUAGCUGACCGACCUUGAUUUUCUGAGAAGAAUUCGAGUGUGAGCAUGCCUGUCGG